UGCCUCCGCCGGCGCUCGAGCCCGCACUCGCGCCCCCACCCACCCACGCUGCUCUCUUCCCCGAUCCCCUCCCACGAACCCUAGCCUCCUGGUGACGCCGCCCCUUCCUUCCCCCGUCCCCCUCCCCCCCGCGCGACGCGAGCCCCUCCCUCCUCUUCGCGUUUCGGGCGGCCAUGGACGACUCCAUGAGCGGGACCACCGCCGUCGCGGCGCUCGUGGCCGGCGGCGCACUCCACGGGGCUCGGGACGUCCGCGGCGGCGCGGGCUGUGGACCGAGAGGCAGGGCUCGGGACGUCCGCGGCGGCGCGUGCGGUGGACCGAGAGGCAGGGCCCGUGAUGCAUUCCGUUCGAGGGGCUGGUCGGGUUGGCGCGGGAUCUGAGCCACCGUCGAUGGAUUUCUCGCAGCUUGGCUCCUGUUGCUUUGGAUCCGGGCGAGGAGCCGCCGCCAUGUUUCUCCCCGAGCUCUGUGGUGGAAUGGUCUAUUUGUAUCAGAUUGUGUUUAGUGGAUGCGAAGAGCUCAGUUCUGGUAAGCUAGACCCUGAGGCGUGCAGCAGGUAUGUGGAGAUUAAGGAGCGUGCCCAUGUGAGCGGCUUCGAUUUUGUUGUGCCAAGAUCUCCGGUGGCAGGGAUUCACUUCUUUUUUUGGUGAUAGUCAGGAUUCAGUUUGAUGUUUCUGAAUUUUAACAAUCAUGUUUUACAGUACCCUUGACAUGAAUGAGAUGACUGGGCUUAAAUGAGAACGAUGAGAACCAUCCUGUUCUCCGUCGCAAUUAGCAUGUGUUUAAACUACUACUGCAGCAAAUGUUUGUCGUACCUUCAGUUUGUGCCGCAGAAUCUGUGUUUCAUUGGCACUUUUGUGUGUGUUUGAUUUAGUAUCUUUACCCAGGUGCUUGCUAGAGGAGAAGAUUAAUGGUCCAACACGGCUUCAUGAUUUAUGAGCUGGAGGAGAGGGCAUUGGAUGAACUAAUCAGUUCGAAGCUGUAGAGUUUGGAGGUGGAUGUUACUAAAGGGAGGAAGUUGAUCACAAGUUUUCUUUCAACAAUUGGUGAGUUACAGGGAUAUCAUGUGCAUAUGUAUGAGUUUGCUUUGCUUCGGUUGAAGAUAUAUGUGUGCCUGAAGAUACAAUCUUACAUGCAUUUUCUGUAUGAUAUGAUCACUAUUUCGUUCUCUGCGUGUACGUAGGUUGCAAGAAUGAGAAAGCUCCUCCGUGCUUAACAGGAAGAGAUAGGGUCGCAGCCGCACCGCGCGACGGCAGGCCAUGGCGAGCCGCACCGCACCAGGUGGGCUAGGGCGAGCUCCAGCGCGAGCGAGCGCACCUGUCGCCCACGCCGGCGGUGUUCCGGCCACGAGCAACAGGAACACAGGGUCCCUGACCACGGCUAGAUCUCCUCCUUCUCUGUCCACAUGCGUGCAGCAAGAACUAGCAGCCGCACGGAUCUGAGCUCGACCUCUCAAUUUUGUUUCACUUUUCAAGGAUGAGUAUCUUUACUUUGAAAAUGAACUGGUCAUAUUUCUAUUGGAAAUGAAGUGAUGUUGCUUCCCAGGACCAAUUAGGAUGUAUACCUGAAGGAGUGAAUCUACUGGUUCAGCUGAAAAUUGAUCUCUAUUUGGUUUCUGUUUUUGUGUUUGGUUUUGCCGGCCGCUCGUCCUUCGUAUGCUCAUCCAUCUUGGCUGCUCUGCUUGCCUGCUUCUCCUCUCUAACUCAGAAGGAGGAGACGUCGCUGCUCCGUACGUGUGUUGAACGCGGAGGUGCCGUCCGUUCGGCGCUCGGUCAUCGGUGAUUUGGAUCACGACGAGUACGACUCCAUCAACCCCGUUCACUUGAACGCUUCCGCUCGCGAUCUACAAGGGUUCUGCGAUCUCUUGUGUUGCUGCGUCCCGAUCUUCUGCUUUGUUUCAUCUCUGUUCUGUCAUCGAGGAGGGAGCAGCAGGCAUAGAAGAAAUCCCAAGCCAAUUUUGCUCAGCUGUAGCAUCUUCCACUGACAAUAAGUCUGCACAACAGCCUGGUGAGGCUGAUGUUCUUGCUUAAUAUAAGCCAACAAUGGAGAAACGGACCAAGCUAUCUUUCAUGAUCGGUUACACACCAAGCCUAUGUUUUUGUUGCUUCUACAUGUUGCUAUGAUGGUCAUUCAGCCCAUUUUCUUGAACCUGCACUACAACGAGAGAUCUGGGCUGCUUCUUUGUGGCUUCCAAACUUGAAAUGUUUGUUUGGAAGUUAGUUUAGAUUUUUGUUGUGGAUUCACAACUUCUCACAUGUACCAUCCUCUUAGACCUUUAGAUUUCCAAAGAAACUAAAUGAAGAUAUGGUGGUAUGGUCUCAAUAGUAGAACUUAAAGCCUUCCAUGCUUUAUAUUUUCUCUGAAAUUUGCUCUCGAAGAAUCAUGUAUCUAUGUUAGAUCUGGUGAGAAAAGGCGGCUUCCAAGCAGAGGAUGUGGGAGUGUUGGCCACAUUUGAUUUU